GAGAGAAAUCACACUACCAUCAAAGACAACGGGUCAAAAAGAAUGCCGUCCUAAGCUGAGAAGCCAUCUUCCUAACGACAGCCAUGUAAUAUGAAAGGGAAAAACACACUGUUAUUGAAGAACUUAUCAGCUAUGUCACAUCUUCCACACAAAUACUCAGGAAAGUUAAAAGAAAAUUUUACCUCGGACACAGUUGAUGAUUGCUAAAGUCCUAUUGCAUGCUUUAAGAUGCCUUGCGUUUGGUGAAUUGAAGCCUGAUAUGUCAACAUACUCUCUGUAAACACAGCAGCACAGAGGGCAAAGAAACACUUAUCCAGCACCACAGCUAGGACAAAAGGAAUUAUUUUGACAGUAAAUGGACUUGCAGCUUAAGGUUGGUAUGUACCCAAUUGUGACUAAACCAAAAGAAACAAAUCUGGAAACUGAAGUAUCAAUACGUGAAAAGCGUUCUUUUGGUAUUGGGAGUGCCAGUUGUCUUUGUUUCAUGAACUACUUCUCCGUAAUAGCAUGCAGCCAUCUUCAAGAGGUAAAACAGCAUCCCCAGGAUAAACAGGAAUACUACACUCUUCCUUAAAUAACAAAAACUGCGGCUGGGCGUGGUGGCUCACACUUGUAAUCCCAGCACUUUGGGAGGCCGAGGUGGGCGGAUCACGAGGUCAGGAGAUGGAGACCAUCUUGGCUAACACGGUGAAACCCCGUCUCUACUAAAAAUACAAAAAAUUACACAGGCGCGGUGGCGGGCGCCUAUAGUCCCAGCUACCCGGGAGGCUGAGGCGGGAGAAUGGCGCGAACCUGGGAGGCGGAGCUUGCAGUGAGCCAAGAUCGCGCCACUGCACUCCAGCCUGGGCGACAGAGCAAAACUUCGUCUC
rnacentral:lncRNA from 1 species